AAGCAUAUCAAUAAGCGGAGGAAAAGAAACUAACAAGGAUUCCCCUAGUAACGGCGAGUGAAGCGGGAUGAGCUCAAAUUUGUAAUCUGGYGGCCUUUGGCCGUCCGAGUUGUAGUCUGGAGAAGCGUUUUCCGCGUCGGACCGUGUACAAGUCCCUUGGAACAGGGCGUCGUAGAGGGUGAGAAUCCCGUCUUUGACACGGACUGCCGAUGCUUUGUGAUGCGCUCUCGAAGAGUCGAGUUGUUUGGGAAUGCAGCUCAAAACGGGUGGUAAAUUCCAUCUAAAGCUAAAUACGGGCGAAAGACCGAUAGCGAACAAGUACCGUGAGGGAAAGAUGAAAAGCACUUUGGAAAGAGAGUUAAACAGUACGUGAAAUUGUUGAAAGGGAAACGCUUGAAGUCAGUCGCGUCUCCUGGGACUCAGCCUUGCUUCUGCUCGGUGUACUUCCUGGGGUUGACGGGCCAGCAUCGAUUUUGACCGUUGGAGAAAGGCCUUGGGAACGUGGCACCCUUUGGGUGUGUUAUAGCCCUCGGUCGUAUGCGACGGUUGGGAUCGAGGACCGCAGCAYGCCUUUUUGGCCGGGGUUCGCCCACGUACGUGCUUAGGAUGCUGGCGUAAUGGCUUUAAGCGACCCGUCUUGAAACACGGACCAAGGAGUCUAACAUGCCUGCGAGUGUUUGGGUGGUAAACCCGGACGCGAAAUGAAAGUGAAAGGUUGGGACCUCUGUCGUGGAGGGCACCGACGCCCGGACCAGACCUUUUGUGACGGUUCCGAGGUAGAGCAUGCAUGCUGGGACCCGAAAGAUGGUGAACUAUGCUUGAGUAGGGUGAAGCCAGAGGAAACUCUGGUGGAGGCUCGUAGCGAUUCUGACGUGCAAAUCGAUCGUCGAACUUGAGUAUAGGGGCGAAAGACUAAUCGAACCAUCUAGUAGCUGGUUCCUG
rnacentral:rRNA from 1 species